rnacentral:lncRNA from 1 species
CUCAGCCAUAACUCCAGCUAAAGGGCCCCCUAUAGGCACUCCUGUUUUUUGCAAGUAGUACUUCCCUUGAAAGACAUAAUAGGAAUUAUAUGUAAUGAGAUGACAAAUCUCCCUAAUGGUGGAUGCAUGUGCUUUCUUCUCUGGUAGAUGUUCUAGGAUAAACCGGUAUACCAAAAGUGCUGCCAGAUCUUGGUGAAUGGAUGGGUAGAGCGCUUCAUAAUCCAUGAUCAUAUAUGUUUCAUUAGGGAAGGGGGCCGCACUCUAACAUCUUUUCUAAAAAAUCCAAGAAAGAAGUUGUAGUAUACCAGUAGCCUUUAAGAUGUGUGAGUGCCCAUGUGGCAAUGGUAUCUAAUUCGUAAAGGGGGGACAUCUUUUUAUCCACCAUGGGUCUGAUGGAAAUAGGGUCCUUAUGAGCCUUAAUAUAUCCAAAUAGUCGUGAAGCAUAGAAGCAUCUAAUCUUUUUCACUUUCCAAACCUUGGGAAAGUACUUGGAUCUAAUCAAAUUAGACAUCUUGACUACCACAUUAUCUGUAAGGUCUUUUUGUAAGAGUUGUGACCCAGACUGAGACACAAAGUCCAUUAAGAGGUUUACGUAUUGAUCUUUUUGUAUAAGAGUCAGCUUCUUUGUCUUAUCAUCUCUUGUGCAUAUUAUGUCAUUGUCUUCCAUCCACUCUUUUGCAUACCAUAAUAUGGCCUAUUGCUUCUUGUUAUUUCUUCCUCUGUGGACUUUGGUGCUAUUUAGGAUUAGCUGCCAGGGUACCUUCUCUUUGUAUGUUUCUUCAUAUCUUGUAACACGUGGUCAAUUUGAGGUGCAAGCAAAGAGAAAUCCGGCCUUCUGUCCAUGACCGUCAUCGGGCCUUCAAGGAUCAGAUCUUGGAUGGGUUGCGGGACCACUAUUUCCCUAACGACCACUGCAACAUCAUUCAACUGGAGAUCUGGUCUCUUGGGUCUGGUACGUUGUUUCCAGAGUAUCCAUUUAAAUUUCUUCAUAUAUUUGGCCCUAAUCUUAUUCUUUAAUAGAGGAAAGAUCGUUGUAAGUGAAAAAUGCAGUUUUUAGCUUGUUGCGUAAUGACAAACCGAUGAUUGAUAUGGAGAAUAGGCCAGGGGUUUAC